rnacentral:rRNA from 1 species
AGUGAACGCUGGCGGUAGGCCUAACACAUGCAAGUCGAACGGCAGCACAGUAAGAGCUUGCUCUUACGGGUGGCGAGUGGCGGACGGGUGAGGAAUACAUCGGAAUCUACUUUUUCGUGGGGGAUAACGUAGGGAAACUUACGCUAAUACCGAAUACGCCCUACGGGUGAAAGCAGGGGAUCUUCGGACCUUGCGCGAUUGAUUGAGCCGAUGUCGGAUUAGCUAGUUGGCGGGGUAAAGGCCCACCAAGGCGACGAUCCGUAGCUGGUCUGAGAGGAUGAUCAGCCACACUGGAACUGAGACACGGUCCAGACUCCUACGGGAGGCAGCAGUGGGGAAUAUUGGACAAUGGGCGCAAGCCUGAUCCAGCCAUACCGCGUGGGUGAAGAAGGCCUUCGGGUUGUAAAGCCCUUUUGUUGGGAAAGAAAAGCAGCAGGUUAAUACCCCGCUGUUCUGACGGUACCCAAAGAAUAAGCACCGGCUAACUUCGUG